rnacentral:rRNA from 1 species
UACGUAGGGUGCAAGCGUUGUCCGGAAUUAUUGGGCGUAAAGAGCUCGUAGGCGGUCUGUCGCGUCUGCUGUGAAAACUCGGGGCUUAACCCCGGGCCUGCAGUGGGUACGGGCAGACUAGAGUGCGGUAGGGGAGACUGGAAUUCCUGGUGUAGCGGUGAAAUGCGCAGAUAUCAGGAGGAACACCGGUGGCGAAGGCGGGUCUCUGGGCCGUAACUGACGCUGAGGAGCGAAAGCGUGGGGAGCGAACAG